GACGAACGCUGGCGGCGUGCCUAACACAUGCAAGUCGAACGGAGAUGCGAAGGGCUUGCCCUUGUAUCUUAGUGGCGGACGGGCGAGUAACGCGUGAGGAACCUGCCCUUCAGUGGGGAAUAACGGCUGGAAACGGUCGCUAAUACCGCAUGACACAUUGGUACCGCAUGAUACUGAUGUCAAAGGAGCAAUCCGCUGAAGGAUGGCCUUGCGUCCGAUUAGCUAGUUGGUGGGGUAACGGCCUACCAAGGCGACGAUCGGUAGCCGAACUGAGAGGUUGAUCGGCCGCAUUGGGACUGAGACACGGCCCAG
rnacentral:rRNA from 1 species